rnacentral:rRNA from 1 species
GUGGGGAAUCUUCCGCAAUGGACGAAAGUCUGACGGAGCGACGCCGCGUGAGUGAAGAAGGCCUUCGGGUCGUAAAGCUCUGUCAUCAGGGACGAACGGCCGGUGGAGUGGAAAGCCACCGGAUUGACGGUACCUGAGAAGGAAGCCACGGCUAACUACGUGCAAGCAGCCGCGGUAAUACGUAGGUGGCAAGCGUUGUCCGGAAUUAUUGGGCGUAAAGCGCGCGCAGGUGGGAUCUUAAGUCCAUUUUGAAAGUUCGGAGCUCAACUCCGUGAUGGGAUGGAAACUGGGAUUCUUGAGUACCGGAGAGGAAAGCGGAAUUCCCCGUGUAGCGGUGAAAUGCGUAGAUAUGGGGAGGAACACCAGUGGCGAAGGCGGCUUUCUGGACGGUGUCUGACACUGAGGCGCGAAAGCUAGGGGAGCGAACGGGAUUAGAUACCCGGGUAGUCC